GUGAUCAUACCAACACUAAUGCAUCGGAUUCCAUCAAAAUUCCGCAGUUAAGCUUGCUUGGGCCAAAGUAGUACUAGGAUGGGUGACCCCUUGGGAAGUUCGCGUGUUGCACUCC